rnacentral:lncRNA from 1 species
UGGCGGGGCCGGCGAGUUGAGAUGCCCCCGCCGGCUGGCGGAACUGUGCGCCCCGCCCGCCGAGGCCCGCUCCCCCUCGAGGCCUGAGGCCCAGUUCUAUAGGGGCGCGAGAGAGCGGCGGCGUGGGGGGCGCGGAGGAAGCGCCGGCCCCCGCCUCCACCGCCUCCUUCGUGGUUGCGGCCCAGGCCGAACAGGGUACCGUGCCCCGGCCGCCUUGGCCUUGGCCACCGCGAGGUCCGGGGCGACUACACCCAGCAGCCCUGUGGCCCUCCUACUGCUCUGGAGACCUGGAGUGGGGUUACAGAGGGAAGCGACUCGCUGCGAGCUCCCCAUCGAAUAUGGAGCCACCAGGUCACGGGACGACGUGCGCUCUACAGAAUGUGAGACAAGGGCCCUCCACACCCAGCCAUUCAGGCCUGAGGUCCUGGCUCCGAGACUGAGGCCGAGACGCGGCAAGCCCCGCGCCGGACCAGCUCUGCCCCUCCCGCACCCACGUGUCUGCGCACAGCCCUCCUUUGCGAUAGAACCCCCUUCCUGGUUCUCCACCACUAAUGAUCUGCCGGAAUUAAACUGGUAACUUUCCCUGCCCUUGAACCGGGAGUUUCGGGAUGAGUUUGCCAAUCCCUGUGCUAUUUGUAACCAGCCCCGUGACACGUGAUACGGAUCCAACUGUGCUAGUUUCCACACCAGGGGUCAGGGCACGGUGGAAGGUCUGCAGCCUCCAAAGCUUCUGAAAUGGGACUUGCUGCUGCUGGUAUCUUUAGAGGGGCAUGUGGUAUCCUGCCAAGGGUGAUUCCUUAGCCUGUCAGUGGCCCAGGGCUCAGGAUUCUACCUGCCUCACAUCUCCUGGAUCCAUCUGCAUGUCUUGGCCCAAUCUCCAUAUCCUCGGUUCUGGCCCCUCCACUACCUGGUUGCCACUGAUGAUUCCAAGGAUUCAGAUCAGCUCACAGUGCUCCAAAAAUAUAGCAAAGUGAAACAAAUGUGCAAAUAAAUGAUAAAAACAAAAGAAGAAAAAGAAAGAAAAGACUUAUUGUAUAUCCUACCUCCUUCAAACAGCUUGCUGUGAUGUGCAUGGUGGUGUGGGAACCUUCUGAUGUCAUACAUACAGGUAACUUACCUAGUUUUGGAUCAGGCAUGGAAACUUGUCUGAGACACUUGGAGAUGACUCCCAAAAUGGUCUGACCCAGAAAUCCAGAAAGGGGCCAUCUGACUGUCCCAGGGUGCUGUACAUGGGGAACAUGCCACCUGGCUGGGGAUCCAGGGAGCAAGGGUCUUCCUGGGUGUGGCAGGUCAUCUCCUCACAGUAACACACGAACACUUGACUUCUCCCACAAAAACUUCUGGCCUAAAAAAUUAAUCAAUACUUAUCUAAACACCUGAGAGCCGAGAGUCUUUGAUAAAUUAAAAGGCAGUUUGGCAGUAAGCCACCUCCUGAAUGCCCCAGAUUUUCAUAAAAGGCCCUUUGUGGAAGCCACAGAAUGCAGGUAAAGCUAGGAUUUGAGGCGGUGCUGAUUGAGAGAAGAUAAAGAGAAAACUACUUUUUAGGGUUUUUUCUUUUUAACUUACCUCAUGGGGUGUUUAAAGAAUUGAAUGAGUACAGAAAACAAGACUUGCUGUAAUUUUGGUUGGAUGUGAUUCCAGGGGAAAUAUUUUUUCUUAAAUGAAAAUAUAAUAGCUAACCCCUACAUAAAGCUUACUAUGUGUUUUUAGGGGUUUACAAAUGUAUUCACUCCUUUGUGUUUCAUAAGAACCCUGUGAAGUGAGUACUGCUGCUGCCCCACUGGACAGGUGCACAGGGAGGCUGGGCACUUGCUCCCUCACCUUGCCAGCCAGGGGCAUUGCCGGAUGGGAAGCGCCAGUUCUCUCUCCUCUCCAGCGGGUGUCUGUGUGCUCUGCCACAGCACCCAUUCAUUCUUUGCAGUUCCAGUUAAAUGCCAUUUCCCCAGUGAAGAUGGGCCCUGGCUCCCCGUUCCCCCUUGUUAUUUUCAUACCUGGCGUUCUGGUGUUUUUCAUUCAGGACACUUACCACAGCCAUAGUUGUUUACUAUUCCUUUCAGACCACUUCUUCCCCACCCUUUGCUGCUUAUACUAUGUGUCACCCUCUCCCCUUCCUGUCACUCUCAUCAUUGGCUUCCGUCUCUACCACUUCAAAUCCUCCCUUAAUCCUACAUGCUUCCAACCUCCAUGUGGUUGAGUGCUAGAGUUUGGGUGUUUUUAUCCCCUCAAAUCUCAUGUUGAAAUUUGAUCCCCGGUGUUGGAGGUGGGGCCUAAUGGGAAGUGUUUGGGUCGUGAGGGUGGAUCCUUCAUGAUUAGAUUAAUGCUCCCCGGGGAAGAUUAAUAGUUCUAGCUCUAUUAGUUUCCAAGAAAGCUGGUUGUUAACAAAAAGCCUGGAGGCCACAUGGUGAUCUGUACAUACCAGGUUUCCUUCGCCUUCUGUCUUGAUUGGAAACAGCCUGAAGCCCUCACCAGAAGCCAGAGGCAGAUGCUGGUGCCAUGCUUCUUGUACAGUCUGCAGAACUGUGAGCCAAAUAAACCUCUUUUCUUUAUAAAUUACCCAGCCUCGGGUAUUCCUUUAUAGUAACACAAACACACUAAGACAAUACCAAUUCAGAAUUCAGGCCUUCUCAUCAACAAAUCUUUCCUCUUCCAACCACCUCAGCCAACACCUCCUACCAGCUCACCCUGGACCAGGGACUACCUGAAACAGCCCCUUCUGCAAAAACAGGAAUUGGAGCAUCUCUUUCCAUCUUGCUUUUCCAGCCAUUCCUGCUACAACUGUCCUUCACUCUAACUAGACCCUUCACUUGUUCCAAUUAACUAUUUUUUCUUUACUUCUUUCUUGUGUAGUUUAGAUUCUAUGCUCUAUCAAUUCAGUAGCAGUCUCUCUGAUAGACUUAAAUUUCAAAGCCUGUGUCUUUGCAUCAUGCCAUCUGGUAAUGUUGCCAUUACCUACUUUUCUGAGCCUGUCCUCAGUAGCUAAGUGCUACUGGUGAACGACCCAACUCUAAAAUUGACUGCUAUCUGUGUAAAUCAAUGUUCACUAAACUGAAGUGGGCCCUCAACAAUGCCUGGCUACCCAACCCCAUUUUGUUCCUAGGCUCACUUUCUGCAUAACUGUUUUCAGCAGGUAGUCCCAAAGUCCAGUGAGCCUUUUUCCCUGCUCAGGUGACAGACACCCUUGAUGGUUCUGAUCCUUGCCUGGCCAGCAUGGUUCUUCAGGGAAGACAACAAGCAAGGGUAAAGCAAGGGUAAAUCCUUGGCCAAGCACACUCCCCCUAUAGUGCCCCUGGCUUGGAGUCCCAGUGUUAUAGCUCUUUAGUUUGCUCUUCAGUGCUUGAUACCUGAAGCAUACUUGCUUCCAGCCCAGGUCAGGGAGCUUCAAGUCUGUGCCAAAGCUGUGCCAAAGCUGAAUCUCCCUUCAUGGUGACUUUUCCCUGAUAUUGGACCCAGGUCAGUGUUCUAAGCUCACUUCACUUCUGAUGAGUUCUUCCUUCAGGGCCCUAGAUAUUUCUUGCUAGAGACCUAAGUCUGAAUUAUCUCCAUCCAUCAGCAUGGCUUAAAAUAAGGAUUGGUGAACUUAUUCUGUAAUAGGCUAGAUAGCAAAUAUUUUAGGCCCUAUAGGUCAUUUGAGUUAUUUGGUCUCUGUUGCAACUACUCACCUCUACCAUCACAGCUAGAAAGCAGCCAUAAACAUAGACAAUAUAAACAAAUGAGCAUGGCUAUGAUUCAAUACAACUUUACUUAUGAACACCAAUAUUUGAAUUUCAUAGAAUUUUCACGUCACAAAAUAUUCUUCUUUUAAUUUUUUUCAGCCAUUGAAAGUAUAAGUUCUCCUAUUCAAGUAGGUGUAGUUAGAAAUAAACAAAAUAAAGUCAUUCUUAGUUCACUGGUCUUACAAAAACAGGAGGCAGCCAGAUUUGGCCCUUGGGCUAUAGCUUGCUCACUUCUGCAAUACUAAUUUGUUGAACUUAAAAAGAAAUAGGGGGUAAAUCUGGCAAGAUGGUGGAGUAGAAAAUACCAGGAAUCUAUCUCCCCACUUAGACAAUGAUUUGCUGGCAGAAUCUGUUUGAUGUAACUGUUUUAUAACUCUGAAAUCUAUUGCAGGCUUAAAAACUUCCAGUGGAAGGUUGGGCAGUAAAUUGCAGUUAC